rnacentral:rRNA from 1 species
GACGAAGGGGGCUAGCGUUGUUCGGAAUUACUGGGCGUAAAGCGAGUGUAGGUGGUUUUCCAAGUUGGAUGUGAAAGCCUUGAGCUCAACUCAAGAAAUGCAUUCAGGACUGGGAGACUAGAGGACCGGAGAGGAUAGUGGAAUUCCCAGUGUAGUGGUGAAAUACGUAGAGAUUGGGAAGAACACCAGUGGCGAAGGCGGCUCACUGGCUCGGUACUGACGCUGAGGAGCGACAGCGUGGGGAGCAAACAGGAUUAGAAACCCUUGUAGU